rnacentral:rRNA from 1 species
AACGAACGCUGGCGGCAUGCCUAACACAUGCAAGUCGAACGCGUGUAGCAAUACACGAGUGGCGGACGGGUGAGUAACGCGUGGGAACCUGCCCAGUGGUAGGGAAUAACUGCGGGAAACUGCAGCUAAUACCCUAUACGUCCUUUGGGGAAAGAUUCAUCGCCAUUGGAGGGGCCCGCGUCGGAUUAGCUAGUUGGCGGGGUAAUGGCCCACCAAGGCAACGAUCCGUAGCUGGUCNGAGAGGAUGAUCAGCCACACUGGGACUGAGAUACGGCCCAGACUCCUACGGGAGCAGCAGUGGGGAAUAUUGGACGAAUGGGGGAAACCCUGAUCCAGCAAUGCCGCGUGAGUGAAGAAGGCCUUGGUU